rnacentral:tRNA from 2 species
GGGCUAUUAGCUCAAUUGGUUAGAGUGCACCCCUGAUAAGGGUGAGGUACCUGGUUCGAUUCUAGGAUAGCCCA